rnacentral:rRNA from 1 species
UACGGAGGGGGCUAGCGUUGUUCGGAAUUACUGGGCGUAAAGCGCACGUAGGCGGCUUUGUAAGUUAGAGGUGAAAGCCCAGGGCUUAACCCUGGAAUUGCCUUUAAGACUGCAUCGCUUGAAUUGUGGAGAGGUGAGUGGAAUUCCGAGUGUAGAGGUGAAAUUCGUAGAUAUUCGGAAGAACACCAGUGGCGAAGGCGACUCACUGGACACAUAUUGACGCUGAGGUGCGAAAGCGUGGGGAGCGAACAGG